rnacentral:rRNA from 1 species
CCUACGGGAGGCUGCAGUAGGGAAUCUUCCACAAUGGGCGAAAGCCUGAUGGAGCAACGCCGCGUGGGUGAAGAAGGUCUUCGGAUCGUAAAACCCUGUUGUUAGAGAAGAAAAUGCGUGAAAGUAACUGUUCACGUUUCGACGGUAUCUAACCAGAAAGCCACGGCUAACUACGUGCCAGCAGCCGCGGUAAUACGUAGGUGGCAAGCGUUAUCCGGAUUUACUGGGCGUGAAGGGAACGCAGGCGGUCUAUUAAGUCUGAUGUGAAAGCCUUCGGCUUAACCGGAGUAGUGCAUUGGAAACGGGGAGACUAGAGUGCAGAAGAGGAGAGUGGAACUCCAUGUGUAGCGGUGAAAUGCGUAGAGAUAUGGAAGAACACCAGUUGCGAAAGCGGCUCUCUGGUCUGUAACUGACGCUGAGGUUCGAAAGCGUGGGUAGCAAACAGGAUUAGAUACCCGGGUAGUC